rnacentral:rRNA from 1 species
GGUGAACUCCUGGCUGGGGGCGGGGGUAAUACGGUGGGUGGAAGCGUUAAGCGGAAUUACUGGGCGUAAAGGGUGCGCAGGCGGUUGGUUAAGUCUGCUGUGAAAUCCCCGAGCUCAACUUGGGAAUUGCAGUGGAUACUGGCAAGCUGGAGUACGGUAGAGGAAGGUGGAAUUCCCGGUGUAGCAGUGAAAUGCGUAGAGAUCGGGAGGAACACCAGUGGCGAAGGCGGCCUUCUGGACCAGUACUGACGCUCAUGCACGAAAGCGUGGGGAGCAAACAGGAUUAGAUACCUGGUAGUG